GACAGCAGCAGCCGCGGUAAUACGUAGGUGGCAAGCGUUGUCCGGAAUUAUUGGGCGCAAAGCGCGCGCAGGCGGCUUCCCAAGUCCCUCUUAAAAGUGCGGGGCUUAACCCCGUGAUGGGAAGGAAACUGGGAAGCUGGAGUAUCGGAGAGGAAAGUGGAAUUCCUAGUGUAGCGGUGAAAUGCGUAGAUAUUAGGAAGAACACCAGUGGCGAAGGCGACUUUCUGGACGAAAACUGACGCUGAGGCGCGAAAGCCAGGGGAGCGAACGGGAUUAGAUACCCGUGUAGUCCCUGUCUCUUAUACC
rnacentral:rRNA from 1 species